rnacentral:rRNA from 2 species
ACGGGAGGCAGCAGUGGGGAAUAUUGCACAAUGGGGGAAACCCUGAUGCAGCGACGCCGCGUGAGUGAAGAAGUAUUUCGGUAUGUAAAGCUCUAUCAGCAGGGAAGAAAAUGACGGUACCUGACUAAGAAGCCCCGGCUAACUACGUGCCAGCAGCCGCGGUAAUACGUAGGGGGCAAGCGUUAUCCGGAUUUACUGGGUGUAAAGGGAGCGUAGACGGCAGAGCAAGUCUGAAGUGAAAGCCCGGGGCUCAACUCCGGGACUGCUUUGGAAACUGCCCAGCUAGAGUGCAGGAGGGGCAAGCGGAAUUCCUAGUGUAGCGGUGAAAUGCGUAGAUAUUAGGAGGAACACCGGUGGCGAAGGCGGCUUGCUGGACUGUAACUGACGUUGAGGCUCGAAAGCGUGGGGAGCAAACAGGAUUAGAUACCCUGGUA